GACAGAGGUGCCGAGCGUUAGGCGGAAUCACUGGGCUUAAAGCGUGUGUAGGCGGGCCGUUAAGUGUCUUGUGAAAUCCCCCGGCUCAACCGGGGAAUUGCUGGGCAUACUGGCGGUCUUGAGCGAUCUAGGGGCAGAUGGAACAAGUGGUGGAGCGGUGAAAUGCGUAGAUAUCACUUGGAACGCCAAAAGUGAAGACAGUCUGCUGGGGAUCUGCUGACGCUGAGACACGAAAGCCAGGGGAGCGAACGGG
rnacentral:rRNA from 1 species